rnacentral:rRNA from 1 species
AGCAGCCGCGGUAAUUCCAGCUCCAAUAGCGUAUAUUAAAGUUGUUGCAGUUAAAAAAGCUCGUAGUUGAAUUUCGGGAUUAAUAUGUUGGUCGUGCCUUGGUACGUACUGGCAUUAUUGAUUCCUACCUUCUGAAGAACCUCGAUGUCAUUAAUUUGGUGUCUUGGGAAAUCAGGACCGUUUACUUUGAAAAAUUGAGUGUUUAAAGCAGGCUCGCGCUUGAAUACAUUAGCAUGGAAUAAUGAAAUAGGACGUUUGAUUCUAUUUUGUUGGUUCUAGGAUCGACGUAAUGAUUAAUAGGGAUAGUUGGGGGCAUUAGUAUUCAAUUGU